rnacentral:rRNA from 1 species
UACGAAGGGGCUAGCGUUGCUCGGAAUCACUGGGCGUAAAGCGCACGUAGGCGGACUUUUAAGUCAGGGUGAAAUCCUGGAGCUCAACUCCAGAACUGCCUUUGAUACUGAGGAUCUUGAGUUCGGGAGAGGUGAGUGGAACUGCGAGUGUAGAGGUGAAAUUCGUAGAUAUUCGCAAGAACACCAGUGGCGAAGGCGGCUCACUGGCCCGAUACUGACGCUGAGGCACGAAAGCGUGGGAGCAACAGG